UCAAUUCAGGACCAGUAUGCUUUGCAUGAC
rnacentral:piRNA from 1 species